rnacentral:lncRNA from 1 species
GAAAGAGGACAAAGUUAUAACUUGAAUAUAAGUCCAAUAGUUACUCAUUUCAAAAACUCCACAAAUGUUUUUUUAGGUUGAGAUUUGUUGCUAACAUGAUAUGGAUUGUUAAAGUUCAGGGUGGUAUUCAACCCCAUGAAUUAGAAGGUUAUUAUUUUCUCUAAUGUUUAAAUGUUGAGAAAUCGAUGUUUGUGAAUGAUAUGACCAAAUACUACAUGUCAUUAAGAUUCAUAUUGAGUGUAUUGAAACAUCAGAAUAG